GAUCCUGGCUCAGGAUGAACGCUAGCUACAGGCUUAACACAUGCAAGUCGAGGGGCGAGCAUGAACUUAGCUUGCUAAGUUUGAUGGCGACCGGCGCACGGGUGAGUAACACGUAUCCAACCUGCCGAUGACUCGGGGAUAGCCUUUCGAAAGAAGAUUAAUACCCGAUGGCAUAGUUCUUCCGCAUGGUGGAACUAUUAAAGAAUUUCGGUUAUCGAUGGGGAUGCGUUCCAUUAGUUUG
rnacentral:rRNA from 1 species